CGCGUCGAGAACGAUUCCUACCUCGGGAAGAUAUCGCAAUAAAAGUUGUUAAAACUGAUUAAAAACUCUUUGAAAUAAUCCAGUGUGGAGCCCUGGACCUGUGAGAGUGCAGUCGGAGAGACCUGACGUCUCCCUCACGAAGAAAACACAUCGGUCAGGUUUUUUUUGUUGGACCCUUUGAACCUUUGAUCUACCUGGGUGUUGGAGCCUGAAUCGAGACGUUGAUGGCGAGCCAGAGCCCAGAGGAGAACUAGAGAUAUGGCGCCUUUCAGAAUUCGACACUUCAUUACAUACACACACCCACCACCAACUGCGCGGUAGGACAAACUCUCUCCACUUCCACAGAGGACCGAACUGAAACUGAAACUGAAUUGAAGUGACUGAAAAUGGGUGGGGGGGGGGAUUCUGAACUUUAAAUCACAGCUAUGAGUUUUGUUUCCAUUUUUUUUUUUUCUACUUACCCGGGUAAGAUUUGUGUCAUUUGAAGAGUGUGCAAUUUUUAUGUUUUUUGGCUUAUCCUUCCCAUCCAUGUAUUAAAAAGGGAAGCGUUUUUGUUUCUCAAAGAAAGUA